rnacentral:rRNA from 1 species
UACAGAGGGUGCAAGCGUUAAUCGGAAUUACUGGGCGUAAAGCGCGCGUAGGUGGUUCAGUAAGAUGGGUGUGAAAUCCCCGGGCUCAACCUGGGAACUGCUUUCAUAACUGCUGAGCUAGAGUACGGUAGAGGGUAGUGGAAUUUCCUGUGUAGCGGUGAAAUGCGUAGAUAUAGGAAGGAACACCAGUGGCGAAGGCGACUACCUGGACUGAUACUGACACUGAGGUGCGAAAGCGUGGGGAGCAAACAGGAUUAGAAACCCCCGUAGUCC